rnacentral:rRNA from 1 species
AUUGAACGCUGGCGGCAUGCCUUACACAUGCAAGUCGAACGGCAGCACGGGGGCAACCCUGGUGGCGAGUGGCGAACGGGUGAGUAAUAUAUCGGAACGUACCCUGGAGUGGGGGAUAACGUAGCGAAAGUUACGCUAAUACCGCAUACGAUCUAAGGAUGAAAGUGGGGGAUCGCAAGACCUCAUGCUCCUGGAGCGGCCGAUAUCUGAUUAGCUAGUUGGUGGGGUAAAGGCCUACCAAGGCAUCGAUCAGUAGCUGGUCUGAGAGGACGACCAGCCACACUGGGACUGAGACACGGCCCAGACUCCUACGGGAGGCAGCAGUGGGGAAUUUUGGACAAUGGGGGCAACCCUGAUCCAGCAAUAGCCGCGUGAGUGAAGAAGG